rnacentral:rRNA from 1 species
UACGUAGGGUGCAAGCGUUGUCCGGAAUUAUUGGGCGUAAAGAGCUUGUAGGGGGUUUGUCGCGUCUGCUGUGAAAUUUCGGGGCUCAACCCCGAACUUGCAGUGGGUACGGGCAGACUAGAGUGUGGUAGGGGAGACUGGAAUUCCUGGUGUAGCGGUGAAAUGCGCAGAUAUCAGGAGGAACACCGGUGGCGAAGGCGGGUCUCUGGGCAACAACUGACGCUGAGGAGCGAAAGCGUGGGGAGCGAACAGG